UACGUAGGGGGGCAAGCGUUGUCCGGAUUUAUUGGGCGUAAAGAGCGUGUAGGCGGCCAAGCAGGUCCGCUGUGAAAACUCGAGGCUCAACCUCGAGACGUCGGUUGAAACCAUCUGGCUAGAGUCCGGAAGAGGAGAGUGGAAUUCCCGGUGUAGCGGUGAAAUGCGUAGAGAUCGGGAGGAACACCAGUGGCGAAGGCGGCCAUCUGGAUCAACACUGACGCUGAGGCACGAAAGCGUGGGGAGCAAACAGG
rnacentral:rRNA from 1 species